rnacentral:rRNA from 1 species
GAUGAACGCUGGCGGCGUGCCUAAUACAUGCAAGUCGAGCGAACAGACGAGGAGCUUGCUCCUCUGACGUUAGCGGCGGACGGGUGAGUAACACGUGGAUAACCUACCUAUCAGACUGGGAUAACUUCGGGAAACCGGAGCUAAUACCGGAUAACAUGUUGAACCGCAUGGUUCAACAGUGAAAGACGGUCUUGCUGUCACUUAUAGAUGGAUCCGCGCCGCAUUAGCUAGUUGGUAAGGUAACGGCUUAUCGAGGCAACGAUGCGUAGCCGACCUGAGAGGGUGAUCGGCCACACUGGAACGGAGACACGGUCCAGACGCCUACGGGAGGCAGCAGUAGGGAAUCUUCCGCAAUGGGCGAAAGCCUGACGGAGCAACGCCGCGUGAGUGAAGAAGGUCUUCGGAUCGUAAAACUCUGUUAUUAGGGAAGAACAAAUGUGUAAGUAACUAUGCACGGCUUGACGGUACCUAAUCAGAAAGCCACGGCUAACUACGUG